rnacentral:rRNA from 1 species
AGCAGCCGCGGUAAUUCCAGCUCCAAUAGCGUAUAUUAAAGUUGUUGCAGUUAAAAAGCUCGUAGUUGAAUUUCGGGAUCGGCAUGUUGGUCGUGCCUUACGGGGUAUGAACUGGCAUCGCCGGUUUCUCACCUUCUGGAGAAUCGUGAUGCUCUUAAUUGGGUGUUACGUGGAUCCAGGACCUUUACCUUGAAAAAAUUAGAGUGUUUAAAGCAGGCAUAUUGCUCGAAUACAUUAGCAUGGAAUAAUAAAAUAGGACGGUUUGGUUCUAUUUUGUUGGUUUCUAGGAUCACCGUAAUGAUUAAUAGGGAUAGUUGGGGGCAUUAGUAUUCAAUUGUCAGAGGUGAAAUUCUUGGAUUUAUUGAAGACUAACUACUGCGAAAGCAUUUGCCAAGGAUGUUUUCAUUAAUCUAAGAACGAAAGUUAGGGGAUCGAAGACGAUCAGAUACCGUCGUAGUCUUAACCAUAAACUAUGCCGACUAGGAAUCAGACGAUGUUAAUUUUUUAAUGUAACUCGUUU